UGUAUGCACAGUGAAUCAAUUAUGGAGUAUAGAAACUUGUAAUGGAUACUCCAGGCCAGUUGAAGCAUCUCCAUGGUCAUGAGCUGUCUGUUGCCUAGGAGCAGAGACUAAUAGUGGGCACUCCGAGGUGAUGAAAGCAUCCGCCAUGGUUAUGAGCUCUAUAUGUAGGGGAUGGAGAUCAGUAAUGGAUGGAGCUAGAGCUAAUUUAAGGACUGUUCCAUGGUCACAAGGUGUCUGCUUGUCUCAGUGUUUGGUGUAUAGAAAAAAAUAAUGACUCACCCAAGGUGGUUUAAAUUGUAUGCCUGUAGGAACAUGGAAACCCAACAAUAGGCACAUGACUGCAUUUGGGUUGAAGCACGUCUCAUGGCCACACACUCUGGUUGCCUCCGUGUCUAAUGAGCAUAGAGGCCAACAUGGAUACACUUGAACUUACUUAGGUGUUUGGCCAUGAUUGGGUGCCUCAUGGAUGCCCCUUUGUGUAAGAGGAUGAAGACCAAUAACAGAACCCCAAGCUGAUGUUAGCUUCUGCCCUGAUCAAGAUCGUCAUGUUGCUUCCAUGCUGGAAAGAGACCAAGGAUGGACACACUCAAGCUGGUUGAAGAACUCUUUCAUGGUCACAAUCCCUAUGAGUGAACAAGUGUUCCAUGUGUGCAGAGACCAACAAAGAAAACACCUGAGUCGAUUUCAGCAUCUGCCAUGUUCAGGCGUUCCAGGCGCUCUGUGUGGGAGCCUGAAGUCCAAUGUGUGUAAUCAUCAAAUUUCUUGUCUUGGUUUGGAGGGUUUGUUCAGGGUAUCACUGGAAUUAUUCACAAAGUAUUUAAUAUAAGAAAAA